rnacentral:tRNA from 1 species
GAGGGUGGAGCUCAGUGGUAGAGCUCACACUUAGCAUGCACCUUGUCCUGGGUUCAAUCCCCAGUACCUCCA